ACAUACUAAGUGCUAUUCAAAUAAUAAGUCGCUUCACUAAAAAGCCUUUUCAAACAUAGCACUGAAGGGAAAUACCAGCCUCUAUCUUCACGCUUAGAAACACUGGAUGUUUCCAUUGGGCCAGAAGGCGCGUCUGGCAACGCGGCCCCCAGGAGUGACGGGGAACAGCGCCGCCAAGUGGGCUACCAGGGAACUGCACCUCUAACGGCAGCCGAGGUGUGAGCAAACUGCUUAGGUCGCGAAGCAGGGAAGGCGCUCCGUGCUGCCCUAACCUGUUUGCUCCAGGGAGCAGCCACUGGAGUGGUUUAAGGUACUUGGCGAGGAGUGAAAGAGUUGGAGGAAAGCCCCCAAUGGCUAGGACUGCAGGCUGCACACCAUGCCUGGCUGAUUAUUUCUGAUAGAAGAAAACCCUCCCAGAAAUGCUGCAGACUGGCCCGGCUGACUGCAGGAACCGGGACUGCACUAAGAUGGAAACGGGAAAGAGCCUCGGUCAGCUGAGCUCAGCUCUAACUCCCAGGAGGAGACCACCUGAUUUUCGUGAAGGACCUAGAUACACCAAGCACCAAGCAGCACCGAAUGGCUCAAGGCUAGGCCCAAACAAAGCAGUCAGACCAGCGCCUCAGACUCCUUCCUUCUAAAGGUCACCUCGAUUCCCGACAGCACUCCUGGAGGCUGGGUCCCUCCUGAAGGUCACGCCUAGCCUGACCCCCUCAUCGGUCCAUGCCCCUCACGGAAAAUCGGGGUUCCAUCUGCACACCGCUGCUCCCCGCGUGUCCAUAUUGGGUGAGCACAAUUCUUCCUACCUGAAAGUGUGAGCCAGCCCUUUAGCCUACCAAGUACACCGUUAUCCUUUUCCUCAAAAAACUUUACUUUGAAAACUUUCCACCUGCAGGGCCGGGGAUUUAGCUCAGUGGCUUCGCCACCUGCUGCGCAAGCGCAAGGAUCUGAGUUCGAUCCCCGGUAUCAAAAAAAAAAAAGGGGGG
rnacentral:lncRNA from 1 species